GGCCACUCCAAACACACAAACAAACACUCUCUUUCUCUUUCCUUCUUUCCAACCAGAAGAAACCGCCAGAAAAGGGAGAAAGAGCGUUGUGUUGUUGUUGACUUGAGAGUUUCUUUGUUGUGUGUGGGAAUGGCCAUCAAUAAUGGCGAGGGAAGUGAAGGAGGAACAUUGCAAAGGCUUCUUUACAUGUGGGGUUACCUUCCCGGAGCUUUGCCGCAGAGGACGCCGUUAUUGACGCCCGUUCCUGUUAGGUUUCCGCCGUCUGGGUACUCUUGGAAAGAUGUUUGUGGUGGUGGCUGUGGAUUCGCUAUGGCUAUCUCUGAACCGGGGAAGCUCAUCACAUGGGGCUCAACAGAUGAUCUAGGCCAAAGUUAUGUGACUUCAGGCAAGCAUGGGGAAACACCAGAGCCUUUUCCUCUUCCAACUGAAGCCUCUAUUGUAAAAGCAGCAGCUGGAUGGGCUCAUUGUGUUGCUGUAACAGAACAUGGAGAAGUAUAUACAUGGGGAUGGAAAGAAUGCAUUCCCUCUGGGAGGGUAUUUGGGGAACCAUCAACUGGGGUAAGUCUCGAGAAAGAUGUGCCAGGAAGGCAAAGUCCAUUGUCCACAGAGCAAGGUAUGUCUGACCUUUUUACAGUGACCAUUUAUAUAUAGCUAGCUGUCCCUCCCAAGGAGCGGUCUAUGCAAGCGAAGGUGCACCCAAAAAGGAGUGGGGAAGGAGGAGAAUUGCAACAAUAUAGGAUAGAAUCUUCGCAACCUCAAAAGAAAGAAGGAAGAAGCUUUAUGGUUUACCCCUCUAUGAUGAACCCCCAUUCACCACCUUGAUGUACUGCCUCUAGUGAUCAUCCCUCCUUGGGAGGGACUGUGAGCUGUUGUUCUCUUCUAGGUAACUGAUGUAGAGUUGUUUUGCAAUAGCGAGCCCUCGUUCUCAAGGCUCAAGAUCUACUGGAGGUACUGCUUCCAGUAACAGCGGAGAAGAAAGUACAAAGCGAAGGAGAGUAUCUUCAGCAAAGCAAACAGCUGAAAGCUCAUCAUCCAGUGAUGAUACUCUGACAGCAUUUCCUUGUCUUGUCACACUAAACCCAGGGAUAAGGAUAGCUACUGUUGCUGCUGGUGGACGUCACACCCUAGCAUUGUCAGAUACAGGACUAGUGUGGGGUUGGGGCUAUGGAGGUGAAGGGCAGCUUGGUUUGGGUUCCAGAAUACGUAUGGUUUCCUCUCCUCAUCUUGUUCCUUGUAUUGAUUCCUCUUACUAUGGUAAAGAUUGGUCUACAACAUUGGCUCGAGGAAGCAUAGGGUCAGAUGGUCAGAAUUUUAGAAUUCCUGGAAGUUAUGUCAAGAAAAUUGCUUGUGGAGGUCGACAUAGUACAGUAAUUACAGAUGCUGGAGCUUUGCUUACUUUUGGUUGGGGACUCUAUGGACAGGUAAAGUAGAAUAUGGUGGACAAAAGCAAUCUAGAUGUUGAAGAUGUGGUUCACUCUAACAAGGGAUUAUCUAUUCUAUUCCAUUGCAAUAUUUUAUCUUUCUUGUCACCCUGUUGAUCAAUGCAUGUUUAUGCUUGUUAUACUGAAUUAAUGUUACCUUUUUUGGUCAAGUGUGGGCAAGGAACUACGGAUGAUGAACUAAGCCCAACCUGUGUAUCUUCUUUAUUGGGUAUCCAAAUUGAAGGAGUUGCUGCAGGACUGUGGCACACAGUAUGUACAACUGCUGAUGGGGAUGUCUAUGCAUUUGGUGGGAAUCAGUUUGGGCAGCUGGGAACCGGGGCUGAUCAAGCUGAGACUCUACCAAGUCUAGUGGAUUCUCCAAGUUUGGAAAAUACGCAUGUAAAGAACAUAUCUUGUGGUGCUCGUCACACUGCUUUAAUAACAGUAUGGAUGAAUAACCUGUUGUCAGGACAACUGGAGAGAAAAUUUUGGGAAAAAAGGCUUUUAUUUAUUUAUUUUGUCAAAAAUAUGGGAUUCUGGAGCUACCGUGAAAUGAUGUUAGCUGUUUGGUGAAAAGAUUCUUCCACAAUGACAAUGGUGCUAGUCAAACUAAACAGUCAUUGGAGAGGGUUGGACAUGAAUGGGUUAAAUAACAUCUCUGUUUUAGCCAAAGCCCAUCUGAUGCAAAACUAUCAGUGUAACUGAAUAAGAUUGCUAGCAAAACUUGAAAUUCAUAUAUUACAUUACUGUUCUUAUUCUUACUUUUGCAAUAGUCAUCUGGGACUUGUGCAUAGUGAUGUUAUUUUUUAUUUAAUUGGCUAUUAAAAACACAUGUAAUUCACAUGUCUAUUAUUAAUAGAUUCUCAUUAGUUCUCUUUUGUUUCUGUUCUUGAAGAGGGUGGAAAAGUUUUCUGCUGGGGUUGGAACAAAUAUGGACAGCUGGGUCUUGGUGAUGUGAUUGACCGUAACGUUCCUUCCGAAGUCACAAUUGAAGGUUGUGUCCCUAAAAAUGUUGCUUGCGGUUGGUGGCAUACUCUUCUUCUGGCUGAGUCACCCACUUGAUGUCAUGGUUUAUUAGAGCCACUUGACCCAAUUUUGUUAGUUAGCGGUUCUUUUGGAAGGUAAAUCGUAAGUCUUGUAUAUGUACAUAUGGUAGUGGUAUACAUAUGCAUACAUGCUUGUAUUGUUUCAUGGUGUGAUCAACCAUGACUAGCUCCGGUAUUACACUAAAGAGCGAUAUCUGGCUUGGAAGGGACUAUUGGGUCCUUUCCACCUAUCUAACAUUCUUCACCACUGUGUACAUUUUAUUUUAGUGUAUAAAAAACAGUUCAGUGUAAUUAUAUGCACUGUAAGUUGGUUGUUGAGUAGGUGUAAAUGUAAUCUUGGAAUGUAACCAUGACUAGCAUGUAAUAUGAACUUGCUUUUUGUUUGUAAAUGUAAUCUUGGAAUAUACGACUGUAGUAAACGCUACAACAAUCUUUUACUGUAGUUAACCAGAAAUAAUAAAGAUCGUUUAUAUAAA